rnacentral:tRNA from 1 species
GCCUUCAUAGCUCAGCGGUAGAGCGCGACACUAGUACUGCUAGCCAACACUCAAAAUGAGAACACUAGCUCUCUAAAUGGGAAAAAGCUAAUAAAACUACUGGAAUGUCGAGGUCUUGAGUUCGACUCUCAAUGGAGGCA